rnacentral:lncRNA from 1 species
GACUGCUAGACCCCAAUUCCUCAUGAUAACUUAGCCUAAUCCUAAUCAAGCCUCGUCCGCAAAUUCCUCUUGUAAGACUAAACUCAACCAGAACCGCAUUAAGACACGCAUACACAACUAAGUUUGUGUACCCCGAUUCCUCGUGAUAGUACAACAACUUAGCUCCAUACUAUCAAGGACUUUAGAAUUAGACCAGUUUCC